rnacentral:rRNA from 1 species
GACGAACGCUGGCGGCGUGCUUAACACAUGCAAGUCGAGCGGUAAGGCCCUUUCGGGGGUACACGAGCGGCGAACGGGUGAGUAACACGUGGGUGACCUGCCCUCAGCUCUGGGAUAAGCCUGGGAAACUGGGUCUAAUACUGGAUAUGACUCCACGGUGCAUGUCGUGGGGUGGAAAGCCUUGUGCGGCUGAGGAUGGGCCCGCGGCCUAUCAGCUUGUUGGUGGGGUGANGGCCUACCAAGGCGACGACGGGUAGCCGGCCUGAGAGGGCGACCGGCCACACUGGGACUGAGACACGGCCCAGACUCCGUACGGGAGGCAGCAGUGGGGAAUCUUGCGCAAUGGGCGAAAGCCUGACGCAGCGACGCCGCGUGAGGGAUGACGGGCC